rnacentral:rRNA from 1 species
AUGCAGUCGAGCGGCAGCGGGAAGGUAGCUUGCUACUUUUGCCGGCGAGCGGCGGACGGGUGAGUAAUGCCUGGGGAUCUGCCCAGUCGAGGGGGAUAACAGUUGGAAACGACUGCUAAUACCGCAUACGCCCUACGAGGGAAAGGAGGGGACCUUCGGGCCUUUCGCGAUUGGAUGAACCCAGGUGGGAUUAGCUAGUUGGUGGGGUAAUGGCUCACCAAGGCGACGAUCCCUAGCUGGUCUGAGAGGAUGAUCAGCCACACUGGAACUGAGACACGGUCCAGACUCCUACGGGAGGCAGCAGUGGGGAAUAUUGCACAAUGGGGGAAACCCUGAUGCAGCCAUGCCGCGUGUGUGAAGAAGGCCUUCGGGUUGUAAAGCACUUUCAGCGAGGAGGAAAGGUUGGCGCCUAAUACGUGUCAACUGUGACGUUACUCGCAGAAGAAGCACCGGCUAACUCCGUGCCAGCAGCCGCGGUAAUACGGAGGGUGCAAGCGUCAAUCGGAAUUACUGGGCGUAAAGCGCACGCAGGCGGUUGGAUAAGUUAGAUGUGAAAGCCCCGGGCUCAACCUGGGAAUUGCAUUUAAAACUGUCCAGCUAGAGUCUUGUAGAGGGGGGUAGAAUUCCAGGUGUAGCGGUGAAAUGCGUAGAGAUCUGGAGGAAUACCGGUGGCGAAGGCGGCCCCCUGGACAAAGACUGACGCUCA